AGACGGGGACCCGCACAAGCGGUGGAUGAUGUGGAUUAAUUCGAUGCAACGCGAAGAACCUUACCUACCCUUGACAUGUCCGGAACUUGCCAGAGAUGGCUUGGUGCCCGAAAGGGAAUCGGAACACAGGUGCUGCAUGGCUGUCGUCAGCUCGUGUCGUGAGAUGUUGGGUUAAGUCCCGCAACGAGCGCAACCCUUAUCAUUAGUUGCUACGCAAGGGCACUCUAAUGAGACUGCCGGUGACAAACCGGAGGAAGGUGGGGAUGACGUCAAGUCCUCAUGGCCCUUAUGGGUAGGGCUUCACACGUCAUACAAUGGUCGGUACAGAGGGUUGCCAAGCCGCGAGGCGGAGCCAAUCCCACAAAGCCGAUCGUAGUCCGGAUUGUUCUCUGCAACUCGAGAGCAUGAAGUCGGAAUCGCUAGUAAUCGCAGGUCAGCAUACUGCGGUGAAUACGUUCCCGGGCCUU
rnacentral:rRNA from 1 species